CAAUAGCGUAUAUUUAAGUUGUUGCAGUUAAAAAGCUCGUAGUUGGAUUUCGGGUGGGCGAGGCCGGUCCGCCGUCUCGGUGUGCACUGGCUGCGCCCAUCUUCUUGCUGGGGACGCGCUCCUGGCCUUUGUUGGCUGGGACGUGGAGUCAGCGAUGUUACUUUGAAAAAUUAGAGUGUUCAAAGCAGGCCUUGGCUCUGAAUACAUUAGCAUGGAAUAACACGAUAGGACUCUGGUCUUAUUUUGUUGGUCUUCGGGACCGGAGUAAUGAUUAAUAGGGACAGUUGGGGGCAUUCGUAUUUCAUUGUCAGAGGUGAAAUUCUUGGAUUUAUGAAAGACGAACUUCUGCGAAAGCAUUUGCCAAGGAUGUUUUCAUUGAUCAAGAACGAAAGUUGGGGGCUCGAAGAUGAUCAGAUACCAU
rnacentral:rRNA from 1 species